rnacentral:rRNA from 1 species
CCGGCAAACGGGUGCGGAACACGUACAGAACCUUCCUUUAAGUGGGGGAUAGCCCGAAGAAAUUCGGAUUAAUACCCCGUAACAUUAUGUUGUGGCAUCACAUUAUAAUUAUAGAUUUAUCGCUUAGAGAUGGCUGUGCGGCUGAUUAGGUAGUUGGCGGGGUAAAGGCCCACCAAGCCUUCGAUCAGUAACUGGUGUGAGAGCACGACCAGUCACACGGGCACUGAGACACGGGCCCG